rnacentral:rRNA from 1 species
GAUGAACGCUAGCGGCAGGCCUAAUACAUGCAAGUCGAACGGGAACCAGAUCAAAUCUUGCUUUUGUCUGGUGAGAGUGGCGCACGGGUGCGUAACGCGUGACCAACCUACCCUUGUCAGGGGGCUAGCCCGGCGAAAGUCUGAUUAAUACUGCAUUACUUCACCGCGUGGUAUCUUUCGAUGAUCAAAGUUUUAUCUGACUAGGAUGGGCUCGCGUGACAUUAGCUAGUUGGUAAGGUAACGGCUCACCAAGGAUACGAUGUCGAGGGGCUCCGAGAGGAGGACCCCCCACACUGGAAACAAGACCCAGACCAGAAUGGUACGGGAGGCAGCAGUAAGGAAUACAAGGCAAGGGAGGGAAGUCUGAACAAGCCACGCCGGGUACAGAAGGACGGCCAUCGGAGUUGUAAGCUACUUUUAAACGAGAACAGUCGACGGUACGAGGACCGGUCUGAGGGUACCGAAAGAAUAAGGAUCGGCUAACUCCGUG